AUUUGGUGAUGUGGGCAUUUGGCAAGGAAGGCUAUGAAUCUUGUCCAACAUUCAUAUAGGUUUUCUCCAAUCCCUUGUUGAACACUAUAGAUCUCUUUCCUUAUUCU